GGGGAUAUAACUCAGUUGGUAGAGUAUCUGCCUUACAAGCAGACUGUCAACGGUUCGACUCCGUUUGUCCUCA
rnacentral:tRNA from 1 species